UGAGGGGAUAUUGGGGCAAUGGGGGAAACCCUGACCCAGCAACGCCGCGUGAGGGAUGACGGUUUUCGGAUUGUAAACCUCUGUCCUCUGUGAAGAUAGUGACGGUAGCAGAGGAGGAAGCUCCGGCUAACUACGUGCCAGCAGCCGCGGUAAUACGUAGGGAGCGAGCGUUGUCCGGAUUUACUGGGUGUAAAGGGUGCGUAGGCGGAUUGGCAAGUCAGAAGUGAAAUCCAUGGGCUUAACCCAUGAACUGCUUUUGAAACUGUUAGUCUUGAGUGAAGUAGAGGUAGGCGGAAUUCCCGGCGUAGCGGUGAAAUGCGU
rnacentral:rRNA from 1 species